rnacentral:lncRNA from 1 species
AAAUACUAACAUACUAACAUUUGCAUGUUGGUAUUGUAUUUUAGGGUGCCAUGAGUAUAUUGAAGUGGUUGCAAGCACAAUAACAAGGAAGAAGCAGAUCAAAUUUCUGGUUGAGUUGGAACUUAAGGACCACUUUCAAAUAGCAAAAGCAGGAGAAGAAUAUCAGGAACUUGUUUCAACUUUGCCAGAGGUUUAUAUUGGGAAGCCUGAAUACCUGAAUGCUCUUGUAAGAGUGAUGUGUGAUGCUGCAAAGAAAUCAAUGAAGGAGAAGAAAAUGUAUAUUGGUCCUUGGAGGAAGAGCAGCUUCAUGCAAAUGAAGUGGUCAGGCUUCAACAAAAAAUGGACUUGAGGAGCUUCCCCUGCUGUGGUAGUGACCUAACUUGAUUCUUUAAUAAUAAGCCAAUUUCAAUGGCAGAUCUUCAAGGGGAAUUUUGGACUCAAACACCCCUUAGUAGUAGUAGUAGGAGUUGAUGCCCAAGCCAUUGGUACAGUGUAAUAUAAAUGCCUAGCAGUAAUAGCAUGAGGCAUUAGUAAGUACUGUAGUAACUAAGUUUUACUUUUAUGUUAUAUAGAUGGCUUGGUUGAAUGUAUAUUCAACUUCAACAUCAGAUGCUAAUUUUGUAUAUUCGAAUAUAAAUGUCAUGCACUCUAG